CUUUUGAUGAUAAUUUAAGGUCCAACCUGCCCUAUGAGUAUUUCUUAAAUGGCCGCAGUAUCUUGACUGUGCAAAGGUAGCAUAAUCVAUAGUUUUUUAAUUGAAAGCUGGAAUGAAAGGUUUUAUGAGAAAAAAGCUGUCUCUAGUAAAAUUUAUUAGAAUUUUAUUAUUAAGUGAAAAUGCUUAAAUGUAAAUAGAAGACGAGAAGACCCUAUAGAGUUUAAUAUUUGUUUNUAUGUUGUACNUAAGUAUUAUCAUUAUGUACAUAUAUAUAAAUAUUUAGUUGGGGUGAUUGAAAAAUUAAAAUAACUUUUUUUGUAUAUUAACAUAUAUGUAUGAUUAAUUGAUCCUUAUUUAAAGAUUAAAAGAUAAAAUUACCUUAGGGAUAACAGCGUUAUUUUUUUUGAGAGUUCUUAUCGAAAAAAAAGAUUGCGACCUNGAUGUUGGAUUAAAAUAAAUUUAUGGUGUAGAAGCUAUG
rnacentral:rRNA from 1 species